rnacentral:rRNA from 1 species
UGCUUAACACAUGCAAGUCGAGCGCAGGCAUCCGCAAGGAUGUGCUGAGCGGCGGACGGGUGAGUAACACAUAAAUAACUUACCUCAAGGUCUGGGAUAACUUUGGGAAACUGGAGGUAAUACCGGAUAAGACUACAGUGUUCAUGGACACAAGAGUAAAAGAUGGCUGGGCAACCAGCUAUCACCUAGAGAUGGGUUUAUGUCCCACCAGGUAGUUGGUGAGGUAAUGGCUCACCAAGCCUAAGACGGGUAGCCGGCCUUAGCGGGUGGUCGGCCACACGGGAACUGAGACACGGUCCCGACUCCUACGGGAGGCAGCAGUGGGGAAUAUUGGGCAAUGGGCGAAAGCCUGACCCAGCGACGCCGCGUGAGGGAUGAAGGCCUUCGGGUUGUAAACCUCUGUCGGAAGGGACGAUGGGUCUCUGAGCUAAUACCUCAGAAUUUGACGGUACCUUAGUAGGAAGCCCCGGCUAACUCCGUGCCAGCAGCCGCGGUAAUACGGAGGGGGCAAGCGUUGCUCGGAUUUACUGGGCGUAAAGGGUCCGUAGGCGGCUUCGUAAGUUAGAUGUGAAAGCUUAGGGCUUAACCCCUGAAAUUGCAUCUAAAACUGCGGAGCUAGAGUCUAGGAGAGGUCGGCGGGAAUUCCCGGUGUAGCGGUGAAAUGCGUAGAUAUCGGGAGGAACACCAGUGGCGAAGGCGGCCGACUGGUCUAGUACUGACGCUGAGGGACGAAAGCGUGGGUAGCAAACCGGAUUAGAUACCCGGGUAGUCCACGCCCUAAACGAUGGAUGCUAGGUGUGGGGGUGCAAAUCUCCGCGCCGCAGCUAACGCAAUAAGCAUCCCGCCUGGGGAGUAUGGUCGCAAGACUGAAACUCAAAGGAAUUGGCGGGGGCCCGCACAAGCGGUGGAGCAUGUGGUUUAAUUCGAUGUUAAGCGAAGAACCUUACCAGGGUUUGACAUGUUAGUUAUACCUGCGUGAAAGCGUAGGGUGUGUGGAGCUUGCUUCACACGGCUAGCACAGGUGCUGCAUGGCUGUCGUCAGCUCGUGCCGUGAGGUGUCCGGUUAAGUCCGGUAACGAGCGCAACCCUUAUUGCUAGUUGCCAUCACCUCGGGUGGGCACUCUAGAGAGACUGCCGGCGACAAGCUGGAGGAAGGCGAGGACGACGUCAAGUCAUCAUGGCCUUUAUAUCCUGGGCUACACACAUGCUACAAUGGCGGAUACAAUGGGUCGCAAACUCGCGAGGGGAAGCUAAUCCCAUCAAAGUCCGUCUAAGUUCGGAUUGCAGGCUGCAACUCGCCUGCAUGAAGCUGGAAUCGCUAGUAAUCGUGGAUCAGCUACGCCACCGUGAAUACGUUCCCGGGCCUUGCACACACUGCCCGUCACA